rnacentral:rRNA from 1 species
CACGUAGGGUGCGAGCGUUGUCCGGAAUUAUUGGGCGUAAAGAGCUCGUAGGCGGUUUGUCGCGUCUGCCGUGAAAGUCCGGGGCUCAACUCCGGAUCUGCGGUGGGUACGGGCAGACUAGAGUGAUGUAGGGGAGAUUGGAAUUCCUGGUGUAGCGGUGAAAUGCGCAGAUAUCAGGAGGAACACCGAUGGCGAAGGCAGGUCUCUGGGCAUUAACUGACGCUGAGGAGCGAAAGCAUGGGGAGCGAACAGG